rnacentral:rRNA from 1 species
AAAGCGCACGCAGGCGGUCUGUCAAGUCGGAUGUGAAAUCCCCGGGCUCAACCUGGGAACUGCAUUCGAAACUGGCAGACUAGAGUCUUGUAGAGGGGGGUAGAAUUCCAGGUGUAGCGGUGAAAUGCGUAGAGAUCUGGAGGAAUACCGGUGGCGAAGGCGGCCCCCUGGACAAAGACUGACGCUCAGGUGCGAAAGCGUGGGGAGCAAACAGGAUUAGAUACCCUAGU